rnacentral:rRNA from 1 species
AGUGAACGCUGGCGGUAGGCCUAACACAUGCAAGUCGAACGGCAGCACAGUAAGAGCUUGCUCUUACGGGUGGCGAGUGGCGGACGGGUGAGGAAUACAUCGGAAUCUACUUUUUCGUGGGGGAUAACGUAGGGAAACUUACGCUAAUACCGCAUACGACCUACGGGUGAAAGCAGGGGAUCUUCGGACCUUGCGCGAUUGAAUGAGCCGAUGUCGGAUUAGCUAGUAGGCGGGGUAACGGCCAACCAAGGCGACGAUCCGUAGCUGGUCUGAGAGGAUGAUCAGCGACACUGGAACUGAGACACGGUCCAGACUCCGACGGGAGGCAGCAGUGGGGAAUAUUGGACAAUGGGCGCAAGCCUGAUCCAGCCAUACCGCGUGGGUGAAGAAGGCCUUCGGGUUGUAAAGCCCUUUUGUUGGGAAAGAAAAGCAGCAGGUUAAUACCCCGCUGUUCUGACGGUACCCAAAGAAUAAGCACCGGCUAACUUCGU